UGCUCCUACGGGGGGCAGCAGUAGGGAAUCUUCCACAAUGGGCGAAAGUCUGAUGGAGCAACGCCGCGUGAGUGAAGAAGGGUUUCGGCUCGUAAAGCUCUGUUGGUAGUGAAGAAAGAUAGAGGUAGUAACUGGCCUUUAUUUGACGGUAAUUACUUAGAAAGUCACGGCUAACUACGUGCCAGCAGCCGCGGUAAUACGUAGGUGGCGAACGUUGUCCGGAAUUACUGGGUGUAAAGGGAGUGUAGGCGGGGAAGCAAGGCAGAAGUGAAAACUAUGGGGUUAAACCA
rnacentral:rRNA from 1 species